AGAGCGAACGCUGGCGGCAGGCCUAACACAUGCAAGUCGAGCGCCCGUAGCAAUACGGGAGCGGCAGACGGGAUAGUAACACGUGGGAACGCGCCCUUCGGUUCGGAAUAACUCAGGGAAACUUGAGCUAAUACCGAAUACGCCCUUACGGGGAAAGAUUUAUUGCCGAAGGAACGGCCCGCGUCCUAUUAGCUAGUUGGUGAGGUAAUGGCUCACCAAGGCUACGAUCGGUAGCUGGUCUGAGAGGAUGACCAGCAUCACUGGGACUGAGACACGGCCCAGACUCCUACGGGAGGCAGCAGUGGGGAAUAUUGGACAAUGGGCGAAAGCCUGAUCCAGCCAUGCCGCGUGGAUGAUGAAGGCCCUAGGGUUGUAAAGUCCUUUAACGGGAAGAUAAUGACGGUACCGUAGAAUAAGCCCGGCUAACUUCGUGCCAGCAGCCGC
rnacentral:rRNA from 1 species